GAUGAACGCUGGCGGCGUGCUUAAUACAUGCAAGUCGAGCGAAGCACUUUAACGGAAUUCUUCGGAAGGAAGGUAAAGUGACUGAGCGGCGGACGGGUGAGUAACGCGUGGGUAACCUGCCUUAUACAGGGGGAUAACAGUUAGAAAUGGCUGCUAAUACCGCAUAAGCGCACAGGACCGCAUGGUCUGGUGUGAAAAACUCCGGUGGUAUAAGAUGGACCCGCGUCUGAUUAGCUAGUUGGUGGGGUAACGGCCCACCAAGGCGACGAUCAGUAGCCGACCUGAGAGGGUGACCGGCCACAUUGGGACUGAGACACGGCCCAA
rnacentral:rRNA from 1 species